GCCGCGGUGCUGGGGCCGGCGGCAGGGUAGGCUGUCACUGGUUCACCUGCCUUUGCCGGCUUGCCCGAGGCUGGCGGGUAGCCGGAUUGGGGCGGAUAAGCGGUUGCCGGCGCGUCGGCCUUGCCGGUGGGCGGAUAGGCGGUGGGAGGUGAGUACGCGUCGGCCUUGGCGGCCGGCGGGUAGGCGGAGGGAGGCGGGUACGCGUCGGCCUUGGCUGCCGGCGGGUAGGCGGAGGGAGGCGGGUACGCAUCGGCCUUGCCUGCCGGCGGGUAGGCGGAGGAAGGCGGGUAGGCGGCGGCCGGCGGAGGCUGGGUGUAGGCGGACUGGGCGGGGGUGGGAGCGUACCCGCCGGCCGAUUGGGUGACCUCGCCGAGCUUGUAUGAGAAGUUGAGGACUCCCUGGGGCUUGGCGGAGGAGAUCUUGCGGACCUGGUAGGCGACGAACUUGGCGGGGACGGGGCCGUCGGGGGCGCCGGAGAGGAGCUCGGAGAGCGGGAU
rnacentral:lncRNA from 1 species